rnacentral:lncRNA from 1 species
UCAUAUUUCAUCAAUAUAUAGUGAGAGAGGAUUCUCCGUGUGCAGGAGGGGUUGCUCGGACACCUACCCGUGUAGGUUCUCGCUCUAACUUACGCAUCGUCGUCAGUGGGCUUUAUCCUCUCCUUUUGUGAACAGUAGUGAAACUCGCAGCUGAGGCCAGCUGCGCAACUGCGUAGUUUCUCACUCUAGAUCAUCCAUCUUCUCCGUUUGGUGGGUUUUCAGAGACGAGAUUCCUUCCAUAAACGGCGGUGCACUCGCGGAUGCCGGCGGAGUCCUC